rnacentral:rRNA from 1 species
UACGUAGGUGGCGAACGUUGUCCGGAUUUACUGGGCGUAAAGCGCGCGCAGGCGGACCGAUAAGUCAGAGGUGAAAUCUCCCGGCUCAGCUGGGAGGGGCCCUUUGAUACUGUCGGUCUUGAGAUGCCUAGAGGAGAGUGGAAUUCCCGGUGUAGUGGUGGAAUGCGUAGAGAUCGGAAGGAACGCCCGUGGCGAAAGCGAGGUCCUGGACGUCUUCUGACGCUGAGACGCGAAAGCUAGGGGAGCGAACGGG